GUCGUCAGCUCGUGUCGUGAGAUGUUGGGUUAAGUCCCGCAACGAGCGCAACCCUUGUGAUUAGUUGCUACGCAAGAGCACUCUAACCAGACUGCCGUUGACAAAACGGAGGAAGGUGGGGAUGACGUCAAAUCAUCAUGCCCCUUAUGACCUGGGCUACACACGUACUACAAUGGCCGCGCACAGAGGGAAGCGAAACCGCGAGGCGGAGCGAACCCCCAAAAACGGUCUCAGUUCGGAUCGCAGGCUGCAACCCGCCUGCGUGAAGCUGGAAUUGCUAGUAAUCGCGGAUCAUAAUGCCGCGGUGAAUACGUUCCCGGGA
rnacentral:rRNA from 2 species